rnacentral:rRNA from 1 species
AGAGUUUGAUCCUGGCUCAGAAUGAACGCUAGCGAUAUGCUUAACACAUGCAAGUCGGACGAGGUAGGUCUCUUCGGGGGUCUAUCGAGUGGCGGACGGGUGAGUAACACGUGGAUGACCUGCCCAGAGAUGGGGGAUACCGCGCAGAAAUGCGCGCUAAGACCGCAUGAGCUGGCCGGCGGCGACGCUGGUCAGGAAAGCUUUUCGGAGCGUCUUUGGAGGGGUCCGCGGCCGAUUAGCUAGUUGGUGGGGUAAGAGCCUACCAAGGCGUCGAUCGGUAGCUGGUCUGAGAGGAUGAUCAGCCACACUGGGAUUGAGAACGGCCCAGACUCCUACGGGGGGCAGCAGUGAGGAAUCUUCGGCAAUGGGCGCAAGCCUGACCGAGCAACGCCGCGUGGAGGAUGACGGCCUUCGGGUUGUAAACUCCUUUUCUUUGGAACGAGAACGGACGGUACCAGAGGAAGAAGUCUCGGCUAACUACGUGCCAGCAGCCGCGGUAAUACGUAGGAGACGAGCGUUGUCCGGAGUUACUGGGCGUAAAGGGUGCGCAGGCGGCCCGCCGCGUGUGGGGUGAAAUCUCCCGGCUCAACUGGGAGGGGGCCCGUGCAAACGGGCGGGCUUGAGGGUCGCAGAGGGGCGUGGAAUUCCGGGUGGAGCGGUGAAAUGCGUAGAGAUCCGGAGGAACACCGACGGCGAAGGCAGCGCCCUGGACGACACCUGACGCUCAGGCACGAAAGCUGGGGGAGCAAACAGGAUUAGAUACCCUGGUAAUCCCAGCGGUAAACGAUGUCCACCAGGCGCCGGGGGUAUCGACCCCUUCGGUGCCGAAGCUAACGUGAUGAGUGGACCGCCUGGGGAGUACGGCCGCAAGGUUAAAACUUAAAGGAAUUGACGG